rnacentral:rRNA from 1 species
CGACUCUCGACAACGGAUAUCUCGGCUCUCGCAUCGAUGAAGAACGUAGCGAAAUGCGAUACUUGGUGUGAAUUGCAGAAUCCCGUGAACCAUCGAGUCUUUGAACGCAAGUUGCGCCCGAAGCCAUCAGGCCGAGGGCACGUCUGCCUGGGUGUCACCCAUCGACUUGCCC